AAGGUGGAAGCAAUUUUGCCCUGUGAUUUUUGAAAGUUUUUCCAUUGGUUUGUGCAUCUACAUCGGAAAACCUGGGCAGAUGGAAGCCUGGUAUGGUCACAAGUGAUGACAACUAGAACAGCAGAUAGCAUACAAGGCCAACAAGAAACAAAGUCCUAAUUUUCACCUCAUCACCGUCUUCGCCUUCGCUUUCACCUUAUCGCCGUCUUCGCCUUCGCCUCAUCGCCGUCUUCGCCUUCGCCUCAUCGCCGUCUUCGCCUUCGCCUCA